GUUUGCGUGGCCGCCUCCGCGCAGGGCCGCGCGAGCGCCGGCGGCGGCGGCGGUUGCGCAGUGUGGCCACAUCCGGGCGCCGGGGCAGGAUGAAUGCUCCUUUCCAAGAUGGCGGCGGAGGGAGGAGGGAAGGAGAUGAACGAGAUUAAGACCCAGUUCACCACCCGGGAGGGGCUGUACAAGCUGCUGAGCCACUCGGAGUACAGCCGGCCCAACCGGGUGCCCUUCAACUCGCAGGGCUCCAACCCGGUGCGCGUUUCCUUCGUCAACGUCAACGACCAGAGCGGCAACGGCGACCGGCUCUGCUUCAAUGUGGGCCGGGAGCUCUACUUCUACAUCUACAAGGGGGUCCGCAAGGCUGCGGACUUGAGUAAACCAAUAGACAAAAGGAUAUACAAAGGAACACAACCUACAUGCCAUGACUUCAAUCACUUAACAGCCACAGCAGAAAGUGUUUCUCUUCUAGUGGGCUUCUCAGCAGGCCAGGUCCAACUUAUAGACCCUAUUAAAAAAGAAACUAGCAAAUUAUUUAAUGAGGAAAGACUAAUAGACAAGUCCAGAGUAACCUGUGUAAAAUGGGUACCAGGUUCGGAAAGCCUUUUCCUAGUAGCUCAUUCCAGUGGCAAUAUGUACUUAUAUAACGUGGAGCACACUUGUGGUACCACAGCCCCGCACUACCAGCUACUUAAACAAGGAGAAAGUUUUGCAGUUCACACUUGCAAGAGUAAAUCCACAAGAAACCCUCUGCUUAAAUGGACAGUAGGUGAGGGUGCCCUGAAUGAAUUUGCCUUUUCCCCAGAUGGGAAGUUCUUGGCCUGUGUGAGCCAGGAUGGUUUUCUUCGUGUGUUUAACUUUGAUUCGGUGGAAUUGCAUGGUACAAUGAAAAGCUACUUUGGAGGACUGCUGUGUGUGUGUUGGAGUCCUGAUGGGAAAUACAUAGUGACAGGUGGAGAGGAUGACUUGGUAACAGUUUGGUCUUUUGUGGACUGUCGAGUAAUAGCGAGAGGCCAUGGACAUAAAUCGUGGGUCAGUGUCGUUGCAUUUGAUCCGUAUACCACUAGCGUAGAAGAGAGUGACCCGAUGGAAUUUAGCGGCAGUGAUGAGGAUUUCCAAGACCUUCAUUUUGGCAGAGAUCGAGCAAAUAGUACACAAUCUAGGCUAUCCAAAAGGAACUCUACAGACAGUCGUCCAGUAAGUGUUACGUAUAGAUUUGGUUCGGUAGGCCAGGACACGCAGCUCUGUUUAUGGGAUCUUACAGAAGAUAUCCUCUUCCCCCACCAACCUCUCUCAAGAGCAAGGACACAUACAAAUGUCAUGAAUGCCACAAGUCCACCCGCUGGAAGUGGUGGAACUAACCCAGGAAGUAAUGGAAACAGUAUCACAACACCUGGAAACUCUGUACCCCCUCCUCUUCCACGGUCAAACAGCCUUCCACAUUCUGCAGUCUCAAAUGCUGGCAGUAAAAGCAGUGUCAUGGAUGGUGCCAUUGCUUCUGGUGUUAGUAAAUUUGCAACCUUAUCGCUACAUGAUCGGAAGGAAAGACACCAUGAAAAAGAUCACAAGAGAAAUCAUAGCAUGGGACAUAUAUCUAGCAAGAGCAGUGACAAACUGAACCUAGUUACUAAAACCAAAACGGACCCAGCUAAAACUUUGGGAACACCUCUCUGUCCCAGAAUGGAAGAUGUUCCCUUGUUAGAGCCUCUUAUCUGUAAAAAGAUAGCACAUGAAAGACUGACUGUGUUAAUUUUUCUUGAAGACUGUAUAGUCACUGCUUGUCAGGAGGGAUUUAUUUGCACAUGGGCAAGGCCUGGUAAAGUGGUAAGUUUUAAUCCUUAAUGCUGCAUCAAAGAACUAGAACUCUGAAUAGGUAGUUUUCUUGAGAUAUAAAUGAAUGUUGAAUAUAAAAUUUCUUUAUGCUUAAUGUAAAAAAAAAAAAAAAAAUCCUCAGAGCCAUACUUUUGGAUACUGCAUGCCAUAUUUCUGAAUGAUUUGAAGUGUCUUGGAUACAAUUAAGUAUAGUUGCCUUCCAGCAGAAGAAAUAAAUACUGUGCAUCUAAACUAUUGAUCAGUGUUCUUAUACUUAAGCAUAACCACAAUAUGGUGAAAGCUAUUUAUGUAAAAAUGGAAGUAAAAACAUGUCAAUCACUAAAAUAAUUAUAAUCUUUCAAAUAUUUUUCUACAAAAUACUGCACUCCCAAUAAAAGUAGCUUAUAAAAGCUGCUGCUUCUAAGUCUAACGAGAAAUGUGAGCCUCUGAAAAAUUUAAACCAAAGUGUUUUAUUCCUCCAUACUUUUCUGUGGUGGUCUGCCAUUAAUGUAAAACCACUUCUUAUUAAAGUGUCAGCCAUUUUAUGAGCAGAUUUGUGAGCCCUUUACUGACUGUAGUUUAUGCUCUUGAAGUUGUGAAUCAGUACUAUCAAGGAACUCUAAUUUUAGCCGGGUCUUGACUUAUGUAUUCUUUGUCAAGCUAGGGAAAAUUGUGCAAGCUUUCUCUAAGCAGCUUCAGUUUUAUGUCACUGUCAGUUUUGUUAGUCAAAUUUGAUCAUUGACAAGCUUGUGCUUUUUGAUAGCACCUGUUCUGUCAGUUGAACCUUCAUUAAAAUAUAUUAUUAGUUUUAACUUUUGUUGUUAAUGCACUUAAACACAGAUGAAACUUUUUUCUUCUGUUCAAUGUAUAGCAAGCUAAAUUUUGAAUGAAGCUAAAAGUGGUGAUUAUUUUGUUAAAAAGUACUUUGUGCUACAAUAGCUUUGUUUGCCUGCAACGUUUUAAAGGAAUACCGCUAUGAAAACAUUACCGGAUUUGAUCCACCAAAAAGGACCGUUACUUUUGUGAGAACUUCUGAAGUUUUUGUGGCAUGUAGACUAUCAUUUCAAGAAAAAAAAAAUCUGGUAACAUCUGAGUAUUGCCACGGUAGGCAGCAUAAAUGAACAUCUGACGUUUGUUACAUUUUACCUGUUUGGUUCAUAAAUCUCACUUUUGAAGUGGAGGUACUGUAAAUAUUUCAAUACCACAUCUUCAUUGCUAUAAAACUAAGUAAAAGUCGAGAUUUUUUCUUAAAAGUUUGUAUAAUGUAAGUUUCUUUGAGAUGUUCUCAAACUUGACACAACUUACUCAGAGCUACGUCUACUCUGCAUUUUGAUGCAUUUUUAAAGGUUGAAUCUAAAGCUAAAUAAAAAAUUGUAAACCCUUUUCUGGGGAGAAGGGUAGAAGGUAAUACCUAGAAAAAAUACGUAGUUUUUGCCUAAGGACUACAGCUCCAGCAUUAAUUAAAAAAAAAAAAAGGAAAAAACAACCCAAACUUAACUGCUUAAUGUUUGUCCUGAAUGAAAAUACUAAAGCAGUUAUCACUUCUGUGACUCAGUGCAAUUCAUAAGUCUUAAAAAUUAACUUUAUACAUGUACAGCAGUGCCUCAGAUUUCUUUUGUGACCUAUAUUUUCUUGUUGCUUUAAAACUCCUCUGUGUACUACUAAAUGCAACACUGUUAAAUUUAUUUUCAGUGGCUGAGGUGGGUUUUGUUAGACUGGUUAUAACUUAAACACUUUUUUUGGUGUAUUGACUUUGAUUUGGAAUAUGACAUUUCAAAUAUUUCAGAGAUAAAGUAUGCAGUACCAAAAAUCAGGAUUUAUGUAUUGGCCAAUAUGGAAAACUUUAAUGACAGUGACUCCAUUUUAUCUAAAUGAAAGCUGCUGAUUAGUUGCUUCCUUUGUCAGAAAGCUCAAGGUAAGAUUGGACAGAGCUAUGAACAGGUGAAAUGGCAGUGUAUAACCUAGCAAGACAAACAUGUUACCAUUUUGUAAAACAAAUGCACAUGGAAUUUAUUUAUUUGACUUAUUGUACAGGAAAAUUUAGACUUAAAUUAUAACAUCCUUGAAUUUUCUAGUUAACUACAAUUGUAGUACAGUAUCAUGUUUUAGUAUGAUUUCUGUUAUAGUAAAAGUACUUAAACAUUCAUGUACUAUAUUUGAGUGAGAUGAGCAGCUAUACAUACUAAUUCUUCCUCAAUGGAAAGGAGCAUUUCAUCAUUACAAUUGAAGUUCAAUUGCUGGUAUUUAAGUACUAUCAAAUAGAUUUCUUUCAACGUGAUACGGUAUCUGUAUAAACUUCAGGGAUGAUUAUAGUAAAACUGAAACACAGCUAUAUGACUUCAGGUUACCAUGCUGAAAUUUGAAGCUUUCUGUAAUGUGCAUAAUAGCAAAGUUGCACAUAGCAUACCCGCAUUAUCAGGGUGAAUUUAAACCUAGUACACUGGUGUGAUAUUUAUAGCAAGGUAUGUGUGUUUGCGCGUGUGCGUGUGUGAGAAGGUGUGACUAGUGGCUCCAGUAAAGCCAGGAAAGAUCUUAACCCUGUAAAGGCUUUAUGAUGAGGAUGUCUGGAUUAGGAAAUAACAUGACUUUUACUAAACACUUUUUAGAAAACCCAUGUUCUGAAUUAUCACCUCUUACAAUUUGGUUAUGUACUUGGAAUGACUGUAUAUGUCUGCCCCUUUAACAAUAUAAAGCUUCUAAAUUAAUAUUUAAAAUGCUGGCCUGCUUAUGUUACAAUAAUAAAUUUUGUGUCAGUUAAUUUACUGUCAAUUUACAUGUAAAAAUUAAACAAUUUUUUUCUGCAUUUUAUGAAUUCUGUAUACUGGAGUUUGUUAAAGAUUGACAUGUUAGGUGAUACUGUACAAAAUUGUAUUGACUACCUUUAGUGAAAAUCAAAAGUAAAAUUCAUAUGUAUUUCCUUUUUACACUUCCAUCUAAUUUCUUGACAACUUGAAUAAAUUUCAUAGAGCCUUUCUAACAUGAACUAUUGUUAAUUUAACUGUUGCAAUAAUUAAGCUUUAAGAAGUAUUGUUGGUAUAUUUAUAAUUUUAAGAAAAUCAUGUUUGUUUCAUACUGCUUAUUUUUAGCUGUUCUAUUGUCACUGUUACAGCUGAAGAACUUUACUAAAUACUUGACAUUACAAAAUAACUUGCUGGGGUUGUCCUCUGUAUACUGAUGUUAAAUAAAAAUGUGUGAUUGAACUGUAAAUGUAGAUAACUUUCAAUAGUCCUUUUCCACAUUGAGUUUUAAUUUAUCUUGCAGUCCUUAGGUGGUCUUUUGCUAUCAUAUUGUGCUGAACAAAUGGCCACAAUGAAAACUGUUAACUUGCCAUAUUUUGAAGUAAGAAGUUGAUUGCAUCCUGUAACCUGCUCUGAGUAAAUGUUUCACUUCAAUUCAAGAUAAUACAUACAUUUUUGAUGUUUAAAUCUUGCUGAUAAGGUCAUGUCUUCUGAUAUUUUUCUAGGAAUAGAGUAAUAUGAAAUAGAGUAUUUAUAAAAAAAAAAAAAAUCAAAUUUGUUUAAACUCAGAUUCAGUAAAACACAGACGUGUGUCUAGAUUCGCUCUGCCUAGCUGUCAGAUACGAGCUGGGGCCGAGUGUUUUCUCUUCCUUCGAGGACUCUACAGGAGCUCUUUCCUCUAUGGACUCUGGUGUAGGGUACGUUGUUUAUACCAGCUUUAGACGUUGCCAUUUACCUAAGGAAUGCUGAAUUUACAGCCCUGAGGAUAUGGCUCGCUCAGAUGAUUCAAGUGUUUUCAGUCUAGAAAAGCUUUGGCUAGUCUAGAACUUUACUCAUCUGACCCAGAACUAAACUAGUCUAAACCUUUGGCUACACAAUUUCUUGGGACCAAUUUAGGCAAAGAAAAAGAAGUUGCACUUCUAUCUGAGCAAGCUUCGCCCUUGCAGCAGCAGUACUGUGUGCUGAAGGAACCAAACAAGUGACACUUCAGCCUUUCAAAGGCACUUCUGAGAAAUUUCAGUGAAAGAGUUAUUUACUUUGAGUCCUGUUACAAGGUUGGACUCUGUCUCUUACGGAAAACUCCUCUGUAGACUAAAGCUGAGGAAAUAAUCUAUCUUGUAUGAACUUGAGAAUAUUUGGUACUUCAGGAGGUGCUGACUGACCGCUAUGAUGGUCUCUGUGUAACAUAUGUAUAUUUAAGAAUAUACAGGAGCCAAUGGACAAACAAAAUCUGUCCUGAAAGCUUGUGUGAACAGCUGAUUACAUCAAAUGAUGCAAGAACUGGUUGUACAAACCAGUUUCUCAAGAGUCAGCGUGAGCAUGAAACUUAACCAUCUUCCACACCUUCUGCAGUCGUAGAAGAUGACAAAAGCUGUCCCGGAAGAUGGAAAUGUCUUCUUGCUUGCCUUUAAUAGUGUUGCAUAAACUUCUCAAGGAAAUAACUUGUUUGAUCACCUUAUUUUCUGUUUUUGAAGUUGGAUUUUAGUUAGGUGCCGAUCAACUUAACUUCAUUUUGAUCACUUCUCAUUCUAUGAUCAUGCUUAUUUUACAGCUGCCCAAAAUGGGGUUGCCUGAAGUCAUCUGCUUCUUCCCCAGUUUUCCUCCUGGUUCAUUUCAAUUUUGUUAUUUUCUAACCUGAAAAGUUUAAAUCUUACCAUAGUUUAAAGAGGCUAGAGAAACUGUUCCUAACCAUGUGAGCCUGCACUACCUAAACGAAGCCCAAGUUCCUUUUGUCUUAGUCAAAUCUGGCUUCUGCUGGUAAAGCCUUUUGUGCUUUUCCCAGUGUGCACUUAGUUGCAUCUUAUUUUUUUCUCCUCUUGGAGAUGUGUAUCUUCUACUACCCAUCUAAAACUAGUCUUGAAGUAAUCUUACCUAGUAUCGCUACAGGUAAGAUUUUUUUUUAACUAGUCUGCUAGUUUUCUAGCAGCCUUGACUUUCUUUCUGUUGACCAUGAGCAACAGAGGGUGAUUUGUUG